GACGAACGCUGGCGGCGUGCUUAACACAUGCAAGUCGAACGGAAAGGCCCUGCUUGCAGGGUACUCGAGUGGCGAACGGGUGAGUAACACGUGGGUGAUCUGCCCUGCACUUCGGGAUAAGCUUGGGAAACUGGGUCUAAUACCGGAUAGGAGCCAUCUUUAGUGUGGUGGUUGGAAAGUUUUUUCGGUGUAGGAUGAGCUCGCGGCCUAUCAGCUUGUUGGUGGGGUAAUGGCCUACCAAGGCGGCGACGGGUAGCCGGCCUGAGAGGGUGUACGGCCACAUUGGGACUGAGAUACGGCCCAGACUCCUACGGGAGGCAGCAGUGGGGAAGAUUGCACAAGGGGCGCAAGCCUGAUGCAGCGACGCCGCGUGGGGGAUGAAGGCCUUCGGGUUGUAAACUCCUUUCGCUAGGGACGAAGCUUUUUGUGACGGUACCUAGAUAAGAAGCACCGGCUAACUACGUG
rnacentral:rRNA from 1 species